rnacentral:rRNA from 1 species
UACGUAGGGAGCAAGCGUUGUCCGGAAUCAUUGGGCGUAAAGCGCGCGUAGGUGGCCCGGUAAGUCCGCUCUGAAAGUCAAAGGCUCAACCUUUGAAAGCGGGUGGAUACUGCCAGGCUAGAGUCCGGAAGAGGCGAGUGGAAUUCCUGGUGUAGCGGUGGAAUGCGCAGAUAUCAGGAGGAACACCAACGGCGAAGGCAGCUCGCUGGGACGGUACUGACACUGAGCGCGAAAGCGUGGGGAGCGAACAGG